UACGGAGGGAGCUAGCGUUGUUCGGCAAUACUGGGCGUAAAGCGCACGUAGGCGGCGCCGUAAGUCAGGGGUGAAAUCCCGGGGCUCAACCCCGGAACUGCCCUUGAAACUGCAGUGCUAGAAUCUUGGAGAGGUCAGUGGAAUUCCGAGUGUAGAGGUGAAAUUCGUAGAUAUUCGGAAGAACACCAGUGGCGAAGGCGACUGACUGGACAAGUAUUGACGCUGAGGUGCGAAAGCGUGGGGAGCAAACAGG
rnacentral:rRNA from 1 species